CAUGUCGUUAAAAUGUUUGUGACUUUAUGUUGUGUCUCUAUUCAUAUCACAGCCAUUUUGACGAGUUUGG
rnacentral:pre_miRNA from 13 species